rnacentral:lncRNA from 1 species
GUCCUCUCCGUCCGUCCGUCUGCUGGUCCCUAAAUCGGCCUCUCUGUGCACAAACGCCCUGGCUGCUGCCGAGGCUGCCGCUCUCUGCCUACCGCAAGGUGUACAGAAAGGAAGGAGGGUUGGCGAGCGAGCGACCCACCCCUCCCGGUCCCUCCCUCUGACCCCGCUUUCUCCCCUCCCUGCCCACGCCCCCCGCCGCCGCGCCAGCUCCCGCGAGCGGCAAAGUUGGGUCUGGGAGGGCGGCCCCUGCGGCAGCGCGAGCAGAGAGGCUGCCAGUUCCUGGCAGCGGCGCGAGGAGGGAGGCGCGGGCGGGGCGGGGGCGGGGCGCGGCGCAGGGUAAGCGAGCCUAGAGCAGGGGAGGGAAGGGAGGGCCGGGAGCCGAGAGCCCCGCGCUCCGGAAGUGAAGCGGCCAGACCACCCGCUAAUGGAUGCGGAGCCCAGGGCCUACUGACCGCUCUCCGCGCCAGGGGCAGCUUGGCGUUGGCCGGAGCUACGAAAGACCCAGACACACCAUUGUGUGGAGUUGGGUACCAUCUUCCUUUUCUAGAAGCUGACUAAAUAAGCUCGUGACUCUCACGGAACAACUGGAACACAUACACAGGAGUCCAAGCCACCCUGCUGGGACACUUCUCUCCGGGAGCUUUGGGUGCCGGAGUGGAGGCCUUUCCCCGUGACUAGCAGAGGAGAGGUGAGGCGAGGCGGCAAAGACAGGGAGAGCAGCAGAAGCAGCUCUUGCAGGUGCCUCGGGCAGUCGGAGAAGGGUCAACACCACCACGUGGCUGCUAGCACUGGGGAGAGAGCAGCAGCAGCCCCCGGCCUGCAGAGCCACUCACAGGCAGUGGCGCGGUCAUCACCGACAUACCAACCAGCCACCUUGGGUCAGGGCUAGAGACCUAACUGGAAGUGCUGAGUUCUUGCCCCUGGGCAAGGAAGGGUUAUUGGUCCAGAAGACUUUGAGACUGCUGUGGGAGUGGCCUGGGACCCCUUUACGGGUGGAGUAGAAGUUCAGGAGCUCACCCAGGAUAUUCUGAGUCCUAAGGCAGCGUCUGUCUGCACCACGGACUAACUGGUAGCCGUAGAGUUAG